rnacentral:rRNA from 1 species
UGCUCAGAUUGAACGCUGGCGGCAGGCUUAACACAUGCAAGUCGAGCGGGGGAAGGUAGUCUUGCUACCGGACCUAGCGGCGGACGGGUGAGUAAUGCUUAGGAAUCUGCCUAUUAGUGGGGGACAACAUCUCGAAAGGGAUGCUAAUACCGCAUACGUCCUACGGGAGAAAGCAGGGGAUCUUCGGACCUUGCGCUAAUAGAUGAGCCUAAGUCGGAUUAGCUAGUUGGUGGGGUAAAGGCCUACCAAGGCGACGAUCUGUAGCGGGUCUGAGAGGAUGAUCCGCCACACUGGGACUGAGACACGGCCCAGACUCCUACGGGAGGCAGCAGUGGGGAAUAUUGGACAAUGGGGGGAACCCUGAUCCAGCCAUGCCGCGUGUGUGAAGAAGGCCUUAUGGUUGUAAAGCACUUUAAGCGAGGAGGAGGCUACUUUAKUUAAUACCUAGAGAUAGUGGACGUUACUCGCAGAAUAAGCACCGGCUAACUCUGUGCCAGCAGCCGCGGUAAUACAGAGGGUGCGAGCGUUAAUCGGAUUUACUGGGCGUAAAGCGUGCGUAGGCGGCUUAUUAAGUCGGAUGUGAAAUCCCCGAGCUUAACUUGGGAAUUGCAUUCGAUACUGGUGAGCUAGAGUAUGGGAGAGGAUGGUAGAAUUCCAGGUGUAGCGGUGAAAUGCGUAGAGAUCUGGAGGAAUACCGAUGGCGAAGGCAGCCAUCUGGCCUAAUACUGACGCUGAGGUACGAAAGCAUGGGGAGCAAACAGGAUUAGAUACCCUGGUAGUCCAUGCCGUAAACG